CCUACGGGGGGCUGCAGUGGGGAAUAUUGGACAAUGGGGGGAACCCUGAUCCAGCCAUGCCGCGUGUGUGAAGAAGGCCCUCGGGUUGUAAAGCACUUUCAGUGAGGAAGAACGCCUGGUGGUUAAUACCCAUCAGGAAAGACAUCACUCACAGAAGAAGCACCGGCUAACUCCGUGCCAGCAGCCGCGGUAAUACGGAGGGUGCGAGCGUUAAUCGGAAUUACUGGGCGUAAAGCGCGCGUAGGUGGCUUGAUAAGCCGGUUGUGAAAGCCCCGGGCUCAACCUGGGAACGGCAUCCGGAACUGUCAAGCUAGAGUGCAGGAGAGGAAGGUAGAAUUCCCGGUGUAGCGGUGAAAUGCGUAGAGAUCGGGAGGAAUACCAGUGGCGAAGGCGGCCUUGGACUGACACUGACACUGAGGUGCGAAAGCGUGGGUAGCAAACAGGAUUAGAUACCCUUGUAGUC
rnacentral:rRNA from 1 species